UACGUAGGGUGCGAGCGUUAAUCGGAAUUACUGGGCGUAAAGCGUGCGCAGGCGGUUUUGUAAGCCAGAUGUGAAAUCCCCGGGCUUAACCUGGGAAUGGCAUUUGGGACUGCAAGGCUGGAGUGUGGCAGAGGAGACUGGAAUUCCAGGUGUAGCGGUGAAAUGCGCAGAUAUCGGGAGGAACACCAAUGGCGAAGGCAGCUCGCUGGGACGUGACUGACGCUGAGACGCGAAAGCGUGGGGAGCAAACAGG
rnacentral:rRNA from 1 species